rnacentral:lncRNA from 1 species
UACGACACCGCCAGUUUCAGGUCCAUAGAAAUAUAAUUGCGAUGGUCUGGAGAACGGGAAAAUUCACAUUCGUGCACAUAUGAUAUAAGGAUUUUCUAAAAUUAUCAAUUUCACGACAAGAAACAACGGUUGAAAUCAUUGACGAUAGUUUCAGAGUGUGAGCCGUCUUUUCUUUACCAACGAAAUGAGAAGCGUUUAUAGUCUAGCAUUACUGUUCGGGAUAGCAAUUGAGCAAUGAAAUACCAAACUUGUAAUCACCAUCUACCAAUUGAAACUGGCUGAUGGCAAAACAUCGAUAGACUAGAACGAAAAUAUCCUCUCUGUAACACCACUUUAGUGCAGAGCCUACGUCGUGACUGUGGACAUGUUGCAGAUGGCAGAACAGAUGCAGCACAACCACCCGGCGAUGCCAUUCAUUAAGCAAGUAGACGCAUUCAAGGCAACAGAAUGUGGUACAGAAUUAGUUUGUUGUUACCUUUUGACUGUACAGACCAUCAACCAGGUAAAAGGGCAAUUAACGAGUACCGGGACAUAGAUAGAUCCUAAUUAGCACACAUCAACAAGUCCUGCGACGUAGAAUUCAUUUUAGGACCAUAUAUACAAGUUUAUCUACUUCCUGGACCAUAACCGUUUUAUUUAACGACGAACUCUACACAUUUUAAUUACGGUUAUAUGGCGUCAGACAUAUGGUUAAGAACCACACAGAUAUUGAGAGAAGAAACCUGUUGUCGCCACUUCAUGUACUAAUAUUAGUCUUUGUUUAAUGGUAUGGAGAAAUUGUAGGCACUUGUCUUAUUAGCAUGCAGUGGGUCAGGACCCCUGUUACCAUAUUAAAACAUUCUCCAACAAACAACCUGUCACCCCAAACAUUAUCAACAGACAGGGUUUACUACCAUAAAUAAGUUUUUAAAACCUUUGAUUAAGUAAACUGUCCCAACUAAAAUCACAGAACUGACUAAUUACGUAGUCCCAAAUAUCUUUUCAGAGGGAGAAAUACUAUAACCCUAUUUUGUUCUGUUAAUGCACAUUGAAAUAUAUUUAGUUAAGUAGUUUAUUAUAUUAUCAGGACAUUUAUGUUGUUUUACAAGUCAGGUUGAUUAAAGCGAAGCUGUCAUCACUUUCCGUCCAACUGGACAAGAUGAAACAAAAUGGCUGCUCCCAGUUAGCAGGAAUAAUCACGGCGUUCUGGUGUAUGUCAACGAAAUACUGUCUGCCUGCUGAAAGUUAAGGAAUUAUUGUCCGGUGAAUGUGAAGGAAAUACCGUCUGCUGACGUUUCGGAUUGACAGCUUGAUGAAGUUUGAUGACAUUCUUCGACAUAUUGGCGAGUUUGGGCCGUACCAAAGGCGAAUUUGCCUGUUCGUGCUGAUUCCUCUGGUGACACUGGGAAUCGACUCCAUGAGCGUUAUCUUCGCUCUCGCAACACCCGAAUACAGAAGAGUCUUGGCUUCACCGUAUGAGAUGGAGGACUGGGGUUGUGGAAGGCAGUUAUCUGCUUUGGCCAGUUGGUCAGUCCUGUGUGCUGGGAUCCACUGGAGGGU